rnacentral:rRNA from 1 species
CUCGUAGGCGGUCUGUCGCGUCUGCUGUGAAAACUCGGGGCUUAACUCCGGGCCUGCAGUGGGUACGGGCAGACUAGAGUGCGGUAGGGGAGACUGGAAUUCCUGGUGUAGCGGUGAAAUGCGCAGAUAUCAGGAGGAACACCGGUGGCGAAGGCGGGUCUCUGGGCCGUAACUGACGCUGAGGAGCGAAAGCGUGGGGAGCGAACA